ensembl:lncRNA
GAGAAAAUAACAAAGCCCUUAAGCUUUGGACAGACACCAAAGAGCCUUGUUUCAUUUUUGGGCUGUCUUCAUUUCUUUUACAGUAAAACCAGCCUGUCUUCUUGUUACUCCAUUUCAGCCACAGCUAUUUUAGAAAUAAUUGUGUCACAUAAAUCUCUUCCUGGUAUCUGCUUUUGCUGUCCUCUUUCCCCAUCACAGAACAAAGAAAAUACUUUGAUGAAUUAAAAUAUAAAAUAAGGAAACAAACCAAGGUAUUUAUUUUUCUGGUCAUCAGUUAGUAAACACUUAUAUUUUCAUUACCCAGUAAUAUACUUUAUGAUGUUACACUUUUUCCUUCUAUCUAGCUGUCAUUUAUAAGAGUCAAUUUUAGUGAUUAUAUAAAGUGAUGGAGAGCAGUCAAGCUGAAGGAUCAUCAAUAACUGUAAAUGAUUAAAAAGAGUGUUUACAGUAAGGCACUAGUUUCAUGACCUUUGUAACUGGUUACAUUUCUCCUUUGUGUCAGUGUGACUGUCUCUUGGUUGAUGGUAAUGUGCAGGGACUGCAAGGCCUGCGUGGGAUCAGUCAGGUCUGGUCAUGGCCUCAGGGUCCGGAAGGACAACUCAGAUUCUGGUCUUAUAGGCAUUCUUUCCCUCUGUGUUUCGGGACUUACAGCAGGCUGCCCUAGCUUGGACACUCCGUUAAACACCAUCUACCACAGAAGGAGAGACAGACAGACAGAGACACAGAGGGAUAGACUCCACCUGCCAGGUUUGGUCUGUGGAUGACAUGCUGCUGCGUACAAGAGCUUUCACAUUUAAUAGGAAAAAGGAGCUCUAGUAACUGUAACAUCUGAACUUGCAUAUCACAAG